CAACGAUGAGGACACCACUUGGAUUGGUUAGAAUGUGUACUCUUCCUCAAGGCGCGACUAACUCAGUUGCGCAUAUGAUGAAUGGGAUGAAUAAGGUAUUGAGAGAUUUUAUUCUGGAAAAGACUAUGCCUUUUUUGGAUGAUGUUCCUAUAAAAGGGUGCAGAGAAGGAGACAAGGAUGAAACUUUAGAUACGAGGGGGUGUCGCAGAUAUGUUGUUGAUCAUAUACAUGAUUGUGAAAAGAUUUUAACUCGGCUUGGAGAAGUUCAUCUUACAUUAUCGGGUAUGAAGUCCGUAUUUGGAGUACGAGAGGUUGUAAUUGUUGGACAUUUAUGUGG
rnacentral:lncRNA from 1 species